UACGGAGGGGGUUAGCGUUGUUCGGAAUGACUGGGCGUAAAGCGCGCGUAGGCGGAUCGUCAAGUCGGGGGUGAAAUCCCGGGGCUCAACCCCGGAAUGGCCUUCGAGACUGUCGGUCUUGAGUUCGAGAGAGGUGGGUGGAAUUCCGAGUGUAGAGGUGAAAUUCGUAGAUAUUCGGAGGAACACCAGUGGCGAAGGCGGCCCACUGGCUCGACACUGACGCUGAGGUGCGAAAGCGUGGGGAGCAAACAGGAUUAGAUACCCCCGUAGUCC
rnacentral:rRNA from 1 species